rnacentral:rRNA from 1 species
CAAUGCGUACGUCUAUCGUGCGAGUCGGACGGUAGCAGGAUGUGCUUGCACAUCGCUGACGAGUGGCGGACGGGUGAGUAAUGCUUGGGAACUUGCCUUUGCGAGGGGGAUAACAGUUGGAAACGACUGCUAAUACCGCAUAAUGUCUACGGACCAAACGGGGCUUAGGCUCCGGCGCAGAGAGAGGCCCAAGUGAGAUUAGCUAGUUGGUGGGGUAAAGGCUCACCAAGGCAACGAUCUCUAGCUGUUCUGAGAGGAAGAUCAGCCACACUGGGACUGAGACACGGCCCAGACUCCUACGGGAGGCAGCAGUGGGGAAUAUUGCACAAUGGGGGAAACCCUGAUGCAGCCAUGCCGCGUGUGUGAAGAAGGCCUUCGGGUUGUAAAGCACUUUCAGUUGUGAGGAAAAGUUAGUAGUUAAUACCUGCUAGCCGUGACGUUAACAACAGAAGAAGCACCGGCUAACUCCGUGCCAGCAGCCGCGGUAAUACGGAGGGUGCGAGCGUUAAUCGGAAUUACUGGGCGUAAAGCGCACGCAGGCGGUUUGUUAAGCUAGAUGUGAAAGCCCCGGGCUCAACCUGGGAUGGUCAUUUAGAACUGGCAGACUAGAGUCUUGGAGAGGGGAGUGGAAUUCCAGGUGUAGCGGUGAAAUGCGUAGAUAUCUGGAGGAACAUCAGUGGCGAAGGCGACUCCCUGGCCAAAGACUGACGCUCAUGUGCGAAAGUGUGGGUAGCGAACAGGAUUAGAUACCCUGGUAGUCCACACCGUAAACGCUGUCUACUAGCUGUUUGUGACUUUAAGUCGUGAGUAGCGAAGCUAACGCGAUAAGUAGACCGCCUGGGGAGUACGGCCGCAAGGUUAAAACUCAAAUGAAUUGACGGGGGCCCGCACAAGCGGUGGAGCAUGUGGUUUAAUUCGAUGCAACGCGAAGAACCUUACCUACACUUGACAUGCAGAGAACUUUCUAGAGAUAGAUUGGUGCCUUCGGGAACUCUGACACAGUGCUGCAUGGCUGUCGUCAGCUCGUGUCGUGGGGAUGUGUUGGGGUUAAGUCCCGCACGAGCGCAACCCUUGUCCUAGUGCCAGCAUUUGGUUGGGCACUCUAAGGAGACUGCCGGUGACAAACCCG